GCGCCGGUAGUGCGACGGUUCAGCACGCGCUCCCGGAUAGAGUGAAAUGUGGGCUCGAAUCCCAGCUGACGCA